rnacentral:rRNA from 1 species
UCACCCUUUUGGGCGGGACAUAAUUACUUUGAGUAAAUGAGAGGGUUCAAAGCAGGCAAGCGACUUGAAUCUUUUAGCAUGGAAUAAUAAAAUAGGACGAUGAUUCUAUUUUGUUGGUUUCUAGGACCAUCGUAAUGAUUAAUAGGGACGGUCGGGGGCAUUAGUAUUCAGUUGUAAGAGGUGAAAUUCUUAGAUUUUCUGAAGACUAACUACUGCGAAAGCAUUUGUCAAGGACGUUUUCAUUAAUCAAGAACGAAAGUUAGGGGAUCGAAGAUGAUCAGAUACCGUCGUAGUCUUAACCAUAAACUAUGCCGACUAGGGAUUGGGCGACGCCUCAUGUAUAUGACGCGCCCAGCACCUUACGAGAAAUCAAAGUUUUUGGGUUCUGGGGGGAGUAUGGUCGCAAGGCUGAAACUCAAAUGAAUUGACGGUUUUA